rnacentral:tRNA from 1 species
GCCUGGGUGGCUCAGUCAGUUAAGCAUCUGACUUCGGCUCAGGUCAUGAUCUCGUGGUUCGUGGGUUCGAGCCCCGCAUCAGGCU